rnacentral:rRNA from 1 species
GAGUUUGAUCGUGGCUCAGGAUGAACGCUGGCGGCGUGCCUAACACAUGCAAGUCGAACGGAGUUCUUAAGGAAUGCGGCUUCGGCCAAAUGACUUUUGAACUUAGUGGCGGACGGGUGAGUAACGCGUGAGCAACCUGCCUUUCAGAGGGGGAUAACAUUUGGAAACAGAUGCUAAUACCGCAUAAGAUUACAGUACCGCAUGAUACAGUGAUCAAAGGAGCAAUCCGCUGAAAGAUGGGCUCGCGUCCGAUUAGAUAGUUGGUGAGGUAACGGCUCGCCAAGUCGACGAUCGGUAGCCGGACCUGAGAGGUUGAACGGCCACAUUGGGACUGAGACACGGCCCAGACUCCUACGGGAGGCAGCAGUGGGGAAUAUUGCACAAUGGCGAAAGCCUGAUGCAGC